UGAACGCUAGCUACAGGCUUAACACAUGCAAGUCGAGGGUCAGCAUCAUCAAAGCUUGCUUUGAUGGAUGGCGACCGGCGCACGGGUGAGUAACACGUAUCCAACCUGCCGACAACACUGGGAUAGCCUUUCGAAAGAAAGAUUAAUACCGGAUGGCAUAGUUUUCCCGCAUGGGAUAAUUAUUAAAGAAUUUCGGUUGUCGAUGGGGAUGCGUUCCAUUAGGCAGUUGGCGGGGUAACGGCCCACCAAACCAACGAUGGAUAGGGGUUCUGAGAGGAAGGUCCCCCACAUUGGAACUGAGACACGGUCCAAACUCCUACGGGAGGCAGCAGUGAGGAAUAUUGGUCAAUGGACGAGAGUCUGAACCAGCCAAGUAGCGUGAAGGAUGACUGCCCUAUGGGUUGUAAACUUCUUUUAUACGGGAAUAAAGUGAGCCACGUGUGCUUUUUGUAUGUACCGUAUGAUUAAGGAUCGGCUAACUCCGUGCCAGCAGCCGCGGUAAUACGGAGGAUCCGAGCGUUAUCCGGAUUUAUUGGGUUUAAAGGGAGCGUAGGCGGGUUGUUAAGUCAGUUGUGAAAGUUUGCGCUCAACCGUAAAAUUGCAGUUGAUACUGGCGACCUUGAGUGCACAGAGGUAGGCGGAAUUCGUGGUGUAGCGGUGAAAUGCUUAGAUAUCACGAAGAACUCCGAUUGCGAAGGCAGCUUACUGGAUUGUAACUGACGCUGAUGCUCGAAAGUGUGGGUAUCAAACAGGAUUAGAUACCCUGGUAGUCCACACAGUAAACGAUGAAUACUCGCUGUUGGCGAUAUACGGUCAGCGGCCAAGCGAAAGCAUUAAGUAUUCCACCUGGGGAGUACGCCGGCAACGGUGAAACUCAAAGGAAUUGACGGGGGCCCGCACAAGCGGAGGAACAUGUGGUUUAAUUCGAUGAUACGCGAGGAACCUUACCCGGGCUUAAAUUGCAACUGACGGAACCGGAAACGGUUCUUUCUUCGGACAGUUGUGAAGGUGCUGCAUGGUUGUCGUCAGCUCGUGCCGUGAGGUGUCGGCUUAAGUGCCAUAACGAGCGCAACCCUUACGGGUAGUUACCAUCAGGUUAUGCUGGGGACUCUACCCGGACUGCCGUCGUAAGAUGUGAGGAAGGUGGGGAUGACGUCAAAUCAGCACGGCCCUUACGUCCGGGGCUACACACGUGUUACAAUGGGGGGUACAGAAGGCAGCUACACGGCGACGUGGUGCUAAUCCCAAAAGCCUCUCUCAGUUCGGAUUGGAGUCUGCAACCCGACUCCAUGAAGCUGGAUUCGCUAGUAAUCGCGCAUCAGCCACGGCGCGGUGAAUACGUUCCCGGGCCUUGUACACACCG
rnacentral:rRNA from 1 species